GUCCCUGUAGCGCAAUGGAUAGCGCGUUGGACUUCUAAUCCAAAGGUCGUGGGUUCGAAUCCCCCCUGGGAUG
rnacentral:tRNA from 1 species